CACAGAGGUCUCAAGCGUUGUUCGGAUUCAUUGGGCGUAAAGGGUGCGUAGGUGGCGUGGUAAGUCGGGUGUGAAAUUUCGGAGCUUAACUCCGAAACUGCAUUCGAUACUGCCGUGCUUGAGGACUGGAGAGGAGACUGGAAUUUACGGUGCAGCAGUGAAAUGCGUAGAGAUCGUAAGGAAGACCAGUGGCGAAGGCGGGUCUCUGGACAGUUCCUGACACUGAGGCACGAAGGCCAGGGGAGCAAACGGG
rnacentral:rRNA from 1 species